rnacentral:rRNA from 1 species
CCUACGGGCGGCAGCAGUGAGGAAUAUUGGUCAAUGGACGAGAGUCUGAACCAGCCAAGUAGCGUGAAGGAUGACUGCCCUAUGGGUUGUAAACUUCUUUUAUAAAGGAAUAAAACGAGGCACGUGUGCCUUUUUGCAUGUACUUUAUGAAUAAGGAUCGGCUAACUCCGUGCCAGCAGCCGCGGUAAUUCGGAGGAUCCGAGCGUUAUCCGGAUUUAUUUGGUUUAAAGGGAGCGUAGAUGGGGUGUUAAGUCAGUUGUGAAAGUUUGCGGCUCAACCGUAAAAUGGCAAUUGAUACUGGCAGUCUUGAGUACAGUUGAGGUAGGCGGAAUUCGUGGUGUAGCGGUGAAAUGCUUAGAUAUCACGAAGAACCCCGAUUGCGAAGGCAGCUUACUAAACUGUGACUGACAUUGAUGCUCGAAAGUGUGGGUAUCAAACAGGAUUAGAUACCCGAGUAGUC